CCGGAGCCUUCUCCUCCUCUUCGUCCUCCUCCUCCACCGCGGCUUCUCCUCUUGGCCGUGGCGCCGGAGGCGGCCGUGCCCACAGCGCGGCCUUAAGCACUGUCUGGAAUAUUCAGUGAUAUAAUCCAUGAGAUGUACAGUAGCCAGUAAAGUCUCUGCUCCAUCAGCAUUUAACAGAUUUCAUGUUUCAUCCUGUAUUGAGCACCUGCUGCUGAGAGCUGGAAAGUCUACAUAGGAUAUUUCAAGACUUCCCUUGCCAGCAGGUAAGUUCUCUUUUUUCAGUUAUGUCUUGAUGUGACAGCAGGCAGCUUUUAAAGGCUUGCUUAUGGUACAGUCAUGCUUUUAUAUAAUCAGAAUAUUGGUUCUUACUGGCACUGUCAUGGUGCUUAGUCAUGUGGGAAUCUGAGGUCAAAACAAAACCUGUUGAGGUACAGAUUUUUUUCCAUUUCAAUGGUAUAUUUUGACAAGGGGAGGAGGUAACUGAGGUGUAUUUAUAGGCAGUUGUUUGUAUGAGAUAGUUAAUGCUUCAAGUGACUCAGCACAACAUGGGAUGCAGCUGGCAGGGGAGCAGAUUAGAGCAGCCACAGAUGGUGCUAGUGGAGGUUCAGAGGGACAAAGUGCAAGGAAAUGGGGUUGGGGGAUUUAUGAGUGGAAGGAAUGUCCCUGGUUAGGAUAGGGAAGGUG